AUUUAUUGCAGUGCAACUCCCAACCAUUUGUUUAUCUACCUGUUUCGUUGCUUCGGCAGGCGGCUCUUCGGGGCCUUUGCUACCUGUAGUGCCUGCCGGAGUAUCCAAAACUCUUGUUAUUUUUGUUUUGUCUGAGUAAACUUUUAAUAGUUAAAACUUUCAACAACGGAUCUCUUGGUUCUGGCAUCGAUGAAGAACGCAGCGAAAUGCGAUAAGUAAUGUGAAUUGCAGAAUUCAGUGAAUCAUCGAAUCUUUGAACGCACAUUGCGCCCAUUAGUAUUCUAGUGGGCAUGCCUGUUCGAGCGUCAUUUCAACCCUCAAGCUCUCUUGCUUGGUGUUGGGGCUUCUGCGGCUUCGGCCGCAGGCCCUGAAAAACAGUGGCGGGCUCGCUAUAACUCCGAGCGUAGUAAUCUCUCUCGCUUUGGAAGAGUAACGGGUUCCCGGCCGUUAAACCCCCCAAUUUCUGAAAGUUGACCUCGGAUCAGGUAGGAAUUUCCCGCUUGAACUUAAACCAUAUCAAAAAACGGAGGGCGU
rnacentral:rRNA from 1 species